GGUCCCGCCCCGUGCCUGACGUCGGGGGCGAGCCGGGCCUGCGCGGUAGUGGGACCCGACCCUGUCUCCAGUGGGCGUCUUGGGCCCCGGCUCUAUUCUGGGCUGCGGGCCUGGGAAGGGCUCGCCGGGUGCCAAAUGAGCUGUCCUAACUCUGCGGGGCUGCAGCUUCCUGCAUGAUGCUGGGGAGCUUGGCGCCUGACCCAGGAUCUAGAAGGCACUCUGGGCAGGCCGCGCUCCGCCCACGAAGGUACCCAACCCUCUGGGAUAGAUGCAGGAAGCGAUGGUUAAGACCCAUUUUCACCCAACUUCUCGCCGCAGGUCUGGCUUACCACACGCUCCUCCCCAUUCCCAGUGAGCCGCUUUUUGCAGCACCAGGCGAACACUUACACCAGUGCUUUGUAAAGGAAUCUUAUUGUCCACCCCGUGUCUUGGCAAAAGAACAGUGAUCACACAGAUUCCUACUUGGGCUCUUUCCUUUAAUCUUCGGAGGCUGAGUUUGCCCAACUCAGGUUUAACCACCAAGGACUCUGAGAGCUGGCAGGUCUGAGUAACCCUGGUAACAAUUCUCUUCACCUUAUCAAAACCUGAGCUAAAACCAAUGCAUCAGCUGAUGAUGACAGCAGAGAGUGGCAGGGCUGAGGACCCAAAGUCAUUUCCCAGGCUGGCGGAGAAUAAACUGCCAGGGAGAAGAAUGAGAAGACAGGAGACAAACUGUUUGGAAAGCUAAAUCUUCCCUCUUAAUGAAUAAAGGUUUUUGCCUUGUCUUAAAGUUUCUGAGUCCUAAUUUUGGCAAAAUAAAUAACUUAUGGUAAUCUGGAAUUGUAUUUUGUAAUAUUAAGUGUUUUGAACCUCUAACAUUUACUUCCCAAAAUCAAACUUCAGUUUCAAAAUUGUCUCUCUUGACCCCUAGCUUUUGGAUGCUACAGAAGGCCCCUGAAGCAUCCAGAAGAGAGGUAAACAGGAUUAUUUAACAUGUUUAGGUACAUGGGAUUGGCCAAAUGGUGUUUAAUGAUCUUCAGGUUAUAUUUUAGUGAAUAAUAUUAAUAUAUUUUCCAAAAUUGUAUGGGAUUUCUAAAAUUCUAAUGUCUGAGUAUAUGCUAGAAAUCAUAAUUAAGGUUAUUAUGUUAAGUUAUUGUAAAACACAGAAAUAAUAAAAUUUGUCAGUCAUGUUCUUGACUAACUACCUUGGACAUUUCACCAUUCAAAAUCGUCUUGUUUUAAUCCUCUUUAAAGGAUGGUUUAUAAUCAGCUAUAGGACUUUGACACAUGCUCUCAAAUGCAAGUUUCUGAUAACUUUGGAGAUUAUGACAUUGGAAUAAAGGAAAAAUGUACAGGACUCAUGAAGAGCUAAAAUAUUCAUGAAUAUCAAGCAAAACAAGAGUUAACAAAAUGGACUUUUUAACCUUUUUGCUUAAAAUGUUGCUGAUCCUUAUUUUGUUUUUCAGAGUCAAGGAAACUUAUUUUAAGCUAUUUAUAGCCUCUAAUAAUUAUGUAAGGUAUACUUCUGUAAAUAAAAUUCAGAGCAUAUUUAUUUGUUUCUCUCUGGUUCCUCUAGAACUUGGAAAGUAUUUGUGAGUAUUCUUAACUCAUGGCAAUAUAAUUAUUUGCAUCAGCACAAUGAGAAUCAUUUUCUUUUACAAGAGGACACAAUUGGAGAAACUGGUUGUUUUCUCAAGGUUUUGACUAAAGGCUGUGCUUCCCUUUAAGGAAUCGAGCUUGACUUGCAGAGCCAAUAAAAGCCCCUUGGGAAAACUGCCUCAUACUUUGUCUACACAGCCCCCGAACAGGGUUCCUAACCUGUGGUGAGUAAAGAAUAUCACUUUCUACAGGCCCAGGAACACCAUGUUCUUAGGACCUCAAGGAGAGAGGAAUUCACCCAACUCAUAGGUAUUUGAGGGUACAAACCCAUGGCUGGGCUCAGCUUUAAAAAGUUCUGAGAUUCCUGUGGAACAGUUUCAUCAAAGAUAAUAUAAAAACCUAUGUAAAAAUAAUUAUUCUUGCUGUGCUUUGUACAAAUAAUCAGGCCAAGUAUAAAACUAAAGUUGAUUUUGCAAACAACUCAGUCCUAUCAUGAUUUGUUUUUUUAACAAAAAUGAGUAGAGACAGAAAAAUUAUGUUUCAAAACAUAUCAUAUGCUUGUCAUUAAUUCUAAUCUCAUUGAUUGUUUUUAAGUUUUUGCCUACAUUUUAAACUAAUCCUGCUUAUUCCUAUAAGCCAACCAGCAAUCUCUGGCUGCAGCUCAGAAAGUGCAAAAAGGGAUGGGUGAUGUACAAAUCUGAAUAUUCUAGUUCUUGGCAAUUAUCCUACAAAUCCUGUCAGGUGAUGGGAGUAAAUAGGGUACCCAUAACCCAGAGGUUUCUUUGGGAAAAUAAAACCAAGGAAGUUAACCAAAGCCAAGCCCCUUGCACUCAAAUCUUAGUGGGCAUAACUGUGGCCACCAGUUAUCUGUACAUGUCAGCAGCCUUGGGAUUUUUAAGCUGUGCUUAUCCCCUGCUUGUUUCCUCUAAUAACCCAAAUUGUUUCUUCUUGCCUAAAGACUAUCAAACUCCAAAUGGUAAUGCAAAUGAAACAAUACAUGGAUAUGCCUUUCUUCCAGGAAUCCUUAGACCAGCCCCAGGAGAAACCCUAGCUGCUGUUCCCCAUGCAGUGCCCCUUUCCAGUAGGAAGUAGCUAGAAGAAUCAUCACCCCAUUCCCCCUAAGACCAGUUAGGGUCUCCACCCUUGAGGAGGGAAAUAAGACAGGAGAAAGGAAGAAAGAGGUCAGGGAGGCAGUUAAAGUGGGUCAUUGGUUGAAUUCUUUCAAACAAAAGAACAGCCUGAAGGCACAUAUAAGGGAACUUGCACAGGGCGGCUUGCCUAAGACAUGGCCACAGCCACACAGAUAAGAAAGGCUUCACAGGUGACUUGUCCAGACAUGCUCAGCAAAGUUCUGCCCCCCUCACACAUACUUUGGGGAACAAAGCAAUUUGGAGUACCUCAAGCUAAGGGCCCACAUGUACACUAGGAGGACAGGGUGGAGCUAGCAGAAAUUCAUGCUUUAUGCAGAUGAAAUGCCCAGCUAUCCUCUUUUAUAAAAGCUUUUGCAUUCAACUGUAAAAAUGGCAACUCUCUUCCAGGCCCCUUCUCAGUGGUGGAGAGCUUUCUUCUUUGCUUAUUAAACUUUAUUAAACUUU
ensembl:lncRNA TP53TG1 TP53 target 1